CUCAUGGAUGCUACUCUAUACUCUGAAGAGUCAAAGUGUGGAUUUGAAUGCUUCUGUGAAAUCAAACGUGGUGGUCAUCAAACGCUGCUACUCUAUCACUCUGUCAUCUAGACAACUUCCUACAUCAUUUGCAUGGAAAAUGGACCUCUAACAGGAUCACUGGAAACAGAUUAAACCACAUGAGUAAGGACUCUUGAUACCAGGAAGUCAAAGAGUCCUACUCUAGAGGCAUGACCAUCCUAUUCUUCGUAUGAAUAAGGCCAGCAUUGUCUUAAAGGUAAUGUACCAUUUAAACUUACACAGCAAACAAGUGUUUCAUACUGAAAGUCACUGGCUUUUUGAGCUGUAAAGCUUCAUAAACACCCAGCUGAAGUACA